rnacentral:rRNA from 1 species
UACGGAGGGGGCUAGCGUUGUUCGGAAUUACUGGGCGUAAAACGCACGUAGGCGGCUUUGCAAGUUAGAGGUGAAAGCCCGGGGCUCAACUCCGGAAUUGCCUUUAAAACUGCAUCGCUAGAAUUGUGGAGAGGUAAGUGGAAUUCCGAGUGUAGAGGUGAAAUUCGUAGAUAUUCGGAAGAACACCAGUGGCGAAGGCGACUUACUGGACACAUAUUGACGCUGAGGUGCGAAAGCGUGGGGAGCAAACAGG